rnacentral:rRNA from 1 species
UACGGAGGGUGCAAGCGUUAUCCGGAUUCACUGGGUUUAAAGGGAGCGUAGGUGGGCUGGUAAGUCAGUGGUGAAAUCUCCGGGCUUAACCCGGAACUGCCGUUGAUACUAUCAGUCUUGAAUGUUUGUGGAGGUAAGCGGAAUAUGUCAUGUAGCGGUGAAAUGCUUAGAUAUGACAUAGAACACCGAUAGCGAAGGCAGCUUGCUACACAAUGAUUGACACUGAGGCUCGAAAGCGUGGGGAUCAAACAGG